UUUCCGUAGGUGAACCUGCGGAAGGAUCAUUAAAGAAUGCCCAGUUUUUCGAAAAGGGUUCUAUUCACACUCCGUGUCUACAUACCGUUGUUGCUUUGGCGGGGCGCCUUCAGGCGUUGGCCUCGGUUACCUGUGCCCCCCAGAGGACCCAAACUCGUUUUGUUUAGUGAUGUCUGAAAACUAUAAAAUAGUUAAAACUUUCAACAACGGAUCUCUUGGCUCUG
rnacentral:misc_RNA from 1 species